rnacentral:misc_RNA from 1 species
GAUGAAGAACGCAGCGAAAUGCGAUAAGUAAUGUGAAUUGCAGAAUUCAGUGAAUCAUGGAAUCUUUGAACGCACAUUGCGCCCCCUGGUAUUCCGGGGGGCAUGCCUGUUCGAGCGUCAUUUCACCACUCAAGCCUCGCUUGGUAUUGGGCAACGCGGUCCGCCGCGUGCCUCAAAUCGACCGGCUGGGUCUUCUGUCCCCUAAGCGUUGUGGAAACUUUCGCUAAAGGGUGUUCGGGAGGCUACGCCGUAAAACAACCCCAUUUCUAAGGUUGACCUCGGAUCAGGUAGGGAUACCCGCUGAACUUAAGCAUAUCAAUAAGCGGAGGA